rnacentral:misc_RNA from 1 species
UGAUAUCGAGUAGUAUACAUACAUAACCUCAAAGAACAUUAUGAUACUUACGAACAUCGCUAAACAAGUAGUGCGAACGAUGUCGACAUUUCGCUUGGCGUUGGUACAACUUCAAGUAAAUGAAGUAAAAAGCAAAAAUGUAGAGCGGGCAGUUUCCUACAUUUCCAGCGCGAAAGAGCAUAAUGCUGAUAUUAUCGCUCUUCCUGAAUGCUUUAAUUCACCAUAUGGAAUACAAUAGUUUCCAAAAUACGCCGAGAGUAUUCCCGAUGAAACGGUGAAACGAGCGUUGCUUUAUCGAAGGCAGCUAAGGAAAACAGCAUUUAUGUAGUUGGUGGUACGAUACCUGAAAUAGAGGGCGAUAAAUUGUACAAUACCUGCUGUACUAUUUGGGGUCCCGAUGGAACUUUGAUAGCAAAACACCGGAAGGUACAUCUAUUCGACAUCGACAUUCCCAACAAGAUUACUUUCCGAGAGAGUGAUUCACUCAGUCCUGGUGAUUCCCUAACAAUGUUUGAUGUGAAGGGCUGGAAAAUAGGUAUUGGCAUUUGCUAUGAUAUCAGAUUCGAGGAAAUGGCACGCAUUUAUCGGAACAAAG